AUGGGUGAUGGGUGUGGAGCUGUGGUGAUGGGUACAGAACCAUGUCCAUGGGUGAUGGGUGUGGAGCCAUGGCCAUGGGUGGUGGGUGUGGAGCCAUGGCCAUGGGUGGUGGGUGAUGGGCCUCGGUGGUGGGCAAUGGGUGCUGAGCCUUGGAGAUGGGUGCUUGCCUUUGGGGACAUGGCCCUGGGCACUGGGUGCUGGGCACUGGGUAAUGGUCCUGCUACCGGGUGCUGGGCACUGGUACCAGGCACAGGGCACUGGGUGCUGGUGCUGGGUACUGGUCGCUGGUACUGGGCGGUAGUACUGGGAGUCAGUGCUGGGCACUGGUACUGGUUGUUGGGUGCUGGUACUGGGUGCUGGGCACUGGGUGCUGGUGCUGGGCACUGGACACCGGUACUGGGUACUGGGCAGUGCUACUGGGCACUGGUACUGGGUACAGUGUGCUGGAUGCUGGGCACUGGUACUGGUUGCUGGGUGCUGGUACUGGGCACUGGUACUGGGUGUUGUUGGUGGGCACUGGUACUGGGUACAGCAUGCUGGGUGCUGGUACUGGGCACUGGGCACUGAUACUGGUUACUGGUGCUGGUCACUGGUGCUGGGCACUGGUACUGGUCACUGGGCAGUGCUACUGGGCACUGGUGCUGUGCACUGGGCACUGAUACUGGUUACUGGUGCUGGGUACUGGGCAGUGGUACUGGGCACUGGGCACUGGUACUGGGCACUGGGCAGUGAUACUGGUGACUGGUACUGGUCACUGGUACUGGGUACAGUGUGCUGGAUGCUGGGCACUGGUACUGGUUGCUGGGUGCUGGUACUGGGCACUGGUACUGGGUGUUGGUGG
rnacentral:lncRNA from 1 species